GAUGAAGAACGUAGCGAAAUGCGAUAAGUAAUGUGAAUUGCAGAAUUCAGUGAAUCAUCGAAUCUUUGAACGCACAUUGCGCCCGGCAGUAAUCUGCCGGGCAUGCCUGUCCGAGCGUCAUUUCACCCCUCGAGCCGCUUUUAGUGGAUCGGUGUUGGGGCACUACGGUAAAACGUAGGCCCCGAAAUGAAGUGGCGGUCCCGCCGCGGUGCCCCCAUGCGUAGUAACGUUUAGUCUCGCAUCGGGUCCCGGCGGAGGCCUGCCGUCAAGCCUUUUAUUCUUAGAAUAGUUUGACCUCGGAUCAGGUAGGGUUACCCGCUGAACUUAAGCAUAUCAAUAAGCGGAGGA
rnacentral:misc_RNA from 1 species